rnacentral:rRNA from 1 species
UACGGAGGGGGCUAGCGUUGUUCGGAAUUACUGGGCGUAAAACGCACGUAGGCGGCUUUGUAAGUUAGAGGUGAAAGCCCGGGGCUCAACUCCGGAAUUGCCUUUAAGACUGCAUCGCUAGAAUUGUGGAGAGGUAAGUGGAAUUCCGAGUGUAGAGGUGAAAUUCGUAGAUAUUCGGAGGAACACCAGUGGCGAAGGCGACUUACUGGACACAUAUUGACGCUGAGGUGCGAAAGCGUGGGGAGCAAACAGG